CUAGAUCAAAAUUAGGUAAGUUCCAAACUACUUGAAAUUUUUUUGGUUCACACAAAAAAAUUGUGUGUUUAAAGUUAAAGACUUCAACUAUGAUUGUUUUCACUUUUUUCUUACUAUUUGUCAUUUAAAUUAAAACAAUUUCAAAAUAUUAAACUUAAAUUCUUAAUGUAAUUAUGAGAAAUCGUUUUUAAUGUUAAAUACUUCGAUCUAUUAAGAUCGACUUUUUGUUUUUCCGGUAGCAGAUAACUACUUCGCUUUGGGGAUUUUUUUGUUUUGUGUUUCAACCCAAAAUCUGAAUCGUUCUUCAAUGGUUUCUUUAUCUUUGAUUUUGGAUUGAAUAAAUCUGCUUUUCACUUUGAGCUUUAUUCACAUCCCAUUUUGAUUCUGAUUCAGAUCCCUUUUCCACCGUUCACUUCAACGGCUUUCUGGGAGAAUCAGACUUCACUAUUUGUUUAAGCCAUAUAUGGCGUUGUGUGAAACUUCUCUGAUGGAAGAAGGUUGGGUAAGAAGGAUUCCCCAAGUCGUUAAUUGGAGAGGAAUUAGAAGAGCAGGCGUUAUAAUUACGGUCCUGUAAAGGGUCUUUCUUCAUCUUGACUUGAGAUUCCUCAUGUGUAAACUCCGGUGGGUGAAGGAUUUUCUGUUCAAGUUUCAGCGGUUGAAGUGGGAGGCAAACGUGGAGAGAGCAAGAUAAAAGGUUUAAAGCGCGAGACAGUACGACCAUGGAAGGAGCUACGCCGAAGGUUUGUCCGAUAGGUGGUAGCAAAAGAAGCAGCAGUUGAGUCUUCCAUCCCUUGCGGUGGUGUGUGCACUCGUGUCUCCAGAAACUCGAGUGAAAUGAAGGAGGGAGGACGCGCGUCUAGAAACACUGCAUGUACGACGCGUGGCCUUGCAUGUCAAAAAUCCCAUAAACAUAGGAUUAGUUUUUAUGUUGAGUUCUCAUUUACUGAGUUUGUAAUGAGUUGGAGUUGGACUUUUAUUUUACUUGUAUUCUUCUCUUUGAAUUUUUUUUCACCGAAAUGAAAGAAAAGCUGACAAAAAUUUGUUUUUAA
rnacentral:lncRNA from 1 species